rnacentral:rRNA from 1 species
AUUCAAUAAGCGGAGGAAAAGAAACUAACUAGGAUUCCCUUUAGUAACGGCGAGUGAACCGGGAUGAGCUCAAAUUUAAAAUUCUGGCGUCUUUCAGGCGUCCGAGUUGUAAUCUAUAGAGGCGUUUUCCGCGCCGGACCGCGUCCAAGUCCCUUGGAAUAGGGUAUCAAAGAGGGUGACAAUCCCGUACUUGACGCGACAACCGGUGCUCUGUGAUACGUUCUCAACGAGUCGAGUUGUUUGGGAAUGCAGCUCUAAAUGGGUGGUAAAUUCCAUCUAAGGCUAAAUAUUGGCGAGAGACCGAUAGCGAACAAGUACCGUGAGGGAAAGAUGAAAAGCACUUUGGAAAGAGAGUUAAACAGCACGUGAAAUUGUUAAAAGGGAAACGAUUGAAGUCAGUCGUGUGGGAGGUAUUCAGCCGUCUCUGGCGGUGUAUUUGCCUCUCACGGGUCAACAUCAGUUUGAUCCGGUGGAAAAAGGCGGGAGGAAGGUGGCACCCUCGGGUGUGUUAUAGCCUCCUGUCAUAUACACCGGACCAGACUGAGGAACGCAGCUCGCAGCAAUGCCGGGGUUCGCCCACGUACGAGCUUAGGAUGUUGACAUAAUGGCUUUAAACGACCCGUCUUGAAACACGGACC